GAGCGGAGCGUGAGGAGGUCGGAGCGGAGCGUGAGGUCAAUGAAGGAAAUCUUGUAUAUCCACAGAUUGAUUCUAUAGAUACUAGAAUGAUGAAGAAAGUUGUCAAGGAACCUCCAGCACAAAGUAAAAAUGGAGCGGGUAAGGUCAUUGAACCCAACAGAAUACUAAACAAGGAGAUGAAGCCAAGCAGUAAGAAGAAAACAAAUAAACAAUCUGGUAAAUGGUGACAUGCAUACAAAAGUCACUUAAGCACAAAUGUAAACUUCAUGCAUUUUUGAACCCAGUUAUCCACACCACCCAAGCCAGUAUGGUGACUAUGCUCAUCUUUCUGCCAGGGACCGUACCAUAAUUCUACAACUUGGUUAGACAAUUAUAUUAACCUA